UCGGGAAUUUUGGGCAAUGGGCGAAAGCCUGACCCAGCAACGCCGCGUGAAGGAUGAAGUAUUUCGGUAUGUAAACUUCGAAAGAAUAGGAAGAAUAAAUGACGGUACUAUUUAUAAGGUCCGGCUAACUACGUGCCAGCAGCCGCGGUAAUACGUAGGGACCAAGCGUUGUUCGGAUUUACUGGGCGUAAAGGGCGCGUAGGCGGCAAUUCAAGUCAUCUGUGAAAUCUCCGGGCUUAACUCGGAACGGUCAGAUGAUACUGCUUUGCUAGAGUGCAGAAGGGGCAAUCGGAAUUCUUGGUGUAGCGGUGAAAUGCGUAGAUAUCAAGAGGAACACCUGAGGUGAAGACGGGUUGCUGGGCUGACACUGACGCUGAGGCGCGAAAGCCAGGGGAGCAAACGGGAUUAGAUACCCACGUAGUCCCUGAGCGGGC
rnacentral:rRNA from 1 species